AUGGUGGGGCGUGCCCGGCCGCACGCUGGAGGCUGUCCUCGAGUACAUCGAGGGCGGCAACACGCCGAGGCUGGAGUACCCCUCCCCCCCGUCCUUCUCUCGCCGUCGUGGGAGCUCAUGGACGCCGAGGCGCAUGGACCUCGGGGCAUCCUCCUCCUCGUCAGGUCGGUCAACCGGCUCUCCCUGCCUCCGCCCCGUCAAGCCGGAGCCCCAAGACACGCCCCAGGAGACGCCUGUUAG
rnacentral:rRNA from 1 species